AGCAACUCAAAGGAAGUUCGACGGGGGCCCGCACAAGCGGUGGAGUAUGUGGUUUAAUUCGAUGCAACGCGAAGAACCUUACCUGGUCUUGACAUCCCGGAGACCCUUAGGAAACUAGGGGGUGCUUCCAUCUGGAAGAAUCUGGAGACAGGUGCUGCAUGGCUGUCGUCAGCUCGUGUCGUGAGAUGUUGGGUUAAGUCCCGCAACGAGCGCAACCCUUGCCUUUAGUUGCCAGCAGUUCGGCUGGGCACUCUAAAGGGACUGCCGGUGUUAAACCGGAGGAAGGUGGGGAUGACGUCAAGUCCUCAUGGCCCUUACGGCCUGGGCUACACACGUGCUACAAUGGUCGGUACAAAGGGUUGCCAAGCCGCGAGGUGGAGCUAAUCCCAUAAAACCGAUCGUAGUCCGGAUCGCAGUCUGCAACUCGACUGCGUGAAGUCGGAAUCGCUAGUAAUCGUGAAUCAGAAUGUCACGGUGAAUACGUUCCCGGGCCUU
rnacentral:rRNA from 1 species